rnacentral:rRNA from 1 species
AUGUCCUUUUGAUAAAUAAUUUAAGGUCUAAUCUGCUCAAUGAGGUAUUAAAUUGCCGCAAUAUUUUGAUUGUGCUAAGGUAGCAUAAUAAUUAGUUUCUUGAUUAGGAGCUGGAAUGAAUGAUUGGACAAGAAAAUUUCUGUCUCUUUUUAAUUGGUAUAUGAAUUUUAUUUUUAAGUGAAAAAGCUUAAAUAAUUUUAAAAGACGAGAAGACCCUAUAGAGUUUAAUAAUAAUAAUAAUUUAUUUUAGUAAUUAAAUUUAUUUUUUAUUAUUUGGUUGGGGUAAUUAUAAGAUAAAAUAAAUUCUUAUAUUGUUUCGUUAAUGAUUAUUAAAUUUUAGUACUAAUUAUUUUGAGUAUAAAAUAAAUUACCUUAGGGAUAACAGCGUUAUUUUUCUUGAAAGUUCUUAUUGAAAGAAAAGAUUACGACCUCGAUGUUGGAUUAAAAUAAAAUUCUGGCGCAGAAGUUAGAAGUUUUGGUCUGUUCGACCAUUAAAAUU